GAGCAGAGGUGGAGACCUCCUGAGGAAAGAGACAGACCUAAGGGGUCCCUGGGGGUCAUCUCAUCCAGCCCCCUGCCUGCAGGCCAGGCCACCUCUCUGGGCCUCAGCAAGAGCCGCGAGGCAUCCCCUUGGGCUGGGCAGUGUGACAAGCAGGCCUAGGCAGGGAAGUCCCCAGGCUCCAGGAAGCUGGGCGCUGCCCCGAGAGGAUACUACUCAGAUGGAACCAGAGGAAGCUGCUCUGCGCCUGCCUGCCCCCUGCCCGGGGAGGGCUCUCCCUGCCUCCUCCCCAGCCUCUGGUCUGCCCAGAAUGGGACAUCAGGGACCUCUGUAGCUGCUGAGGGCACACAUCGGUUGCCCAGGCCCACUCAAGCCAGUCUUCACCGUGGAACACCAGGGAAUCCCUGGGGCCCCUUCUCCCCCCAGCACCCAAUAGUAAGUUGGGCAGCAGAGGAGCCAGACACGGAAGCAAGACAGCAAGAAACUGGAUUUUUAAUUUUCUCUUUUUAAUAAAAAGGCACCUAUAAAACAGGUCAAUACAGUACAGGCAGCACAGAGACCCCCGGAACAAGCCUAAAAAUUGUUUCAAAAUAAAAACCAAGAAGAUGUCUUCA